rnacentral:lncRNA from 1 species
UUGCUAGCCUGGUCUUUAGAUCUCUCCGAUGUUGCUACUACUACUACUAUUUGUUGGUAAAGAUGUAUGAAAAAAUGCGCGAAUACUAUCCAAAUUUUAUUUUAUGUCAACUCAGUUUAAUGAGCCGCACUAAUAUCUUCAAAGAGCCGCAGUUUGCCGACCCUGCUGUAGAUGAUUGUUUAUCCAAUGAAAAUGUUUUAUUAAAUUAUUAUUUAUCAAUUGCUGUUGAGUGCUAUUAUUUUGAGGUGUUAUGUUUAUUCUUGGAGAUUUUCUUGAUAAUAAUAAUUUAACAAAAAUUUACAUUUAACUUAAUUAG